AUAGUAUCGACGGCUCCAGGAAACAACUUCCACGCUGUCCUUGACUGCCCGGACGGCGUCUUCCACCUGUUUGUCUUUGGUCACGUCCAGUGGAAGCACGGUCACAUUCUCCGAGCACGUCUCCCGCAGCUUUUGCGCUCCGUCGCCGUCAGGAAAGAGACAACCGGCGUACACCGUGAACCCGCGUUGGUCCAGGCGCUUCACAAGCUCGUGACCGAAACCUGUGUCGCAUCCUGAAGAGAAACCGACGCCAAAAUGAUUUCGCUGCCUGCUGGACUCUGGACAAAAAGGCAUCAGCCUUGCGAGGGUCCACAGCCCGUGGAGUAGAUGCAGC